rnacentral:tRNA from 1 species
AUAUAGCUCAGUGGUAGAGCCCUUGCCUAGCAAGCACUAGACCCUGGGUUCGAUCCCCAGCAU